rnacentral:rRNA from 1 species
AUUGAACGCUGGCGGCAUGCUUUACACAUGCAAGUCGAACGGUAACAGGGUGCUUGCACCGCUGACGAGUGGCGAACGGGUGAGUAAUGCGUCGGAACGUGCCGAGUAGUGGGGGAUAACGCAGCGAAAGUUGUGCUAAUACCGCAUACGUACUGAGGUAGAAAGUGGGGGACCUUCGGGCCUUACGCUAUUCGAGCGGCCGACGUCUGAUUAGCUAGUAGGUGAGGUAAAGGCGCACCUAGGCGACGAUCAGUAGCGGGUCUGAGAGGAUGAUCCGCCACACUGGGACUGAGACACGGCCCAGACUCCUACGGGAGGCAGCAGUGGGGAAUUUUGGACAAUGGGCGAAAGCCUGAUCCAGCCAUGCCGCGUGUCUGAAGAAGGCCUUCGGGUGGUAAAGGACUUUUGUCAGGGAGGAAAUCCCUAGUGCUAGUAACACUGGGGGAUGACAGUACCUGAAGAAUAAGCACCGGCUAACUACGUGCCAGCCGCCGCCGUAA